CGCCGGGGUCGCACGCGCGAGGCUGCUCUGCCACCGCUGAGAUGCGUUGCGUUGCCGCCUACUUGUUGGCCGCCCUCGGGGGCAAUUCCUCCCCCAGCGCCAAGGACAUCAAAAGGAUCCUGGAUAGCGUGGGCAUCGAGGCAGACGACAACCGACUCAACAAGGUCAUCAGUGAGCUCAACGGAAAGAACAUUGAGGACGCCAUUGCCCAGGGUAUUGGCAAGCUGGUCAGUGUGCCCGCGGGCGGGGCUGUUGCCGCCUCUGCUGCCCCGGGAGCCGCAGCUCCUGCUGUGGGUUCUGCUCCAGCCGCAGCGGAGGAGGAGAAGGAAGAGUCGGAGGAGGAGUCAGAUGACGACAUGGGCUUUGGCUUGUUAGACUAG